rnacentral:rRNA from 1 species
CGUUCCCGGGCCUUGUACACACCGCCCGUCACACCACGAAAGUGGGCAACACCCGAAGCCGGUGGCCCAACCCUUGUGGAGGGAGCCGUCGAAGGUGGGGCUCGCGAUUGGGGUGAAGUCGUAACAAGGUACCC